CACGAAUCCAAAAAUUUUAUUGGUCACAUAUUCGAAACUUUUAUUGAUCACAACUCAUUUACUCAUUGAAUAUUAUUUGAUUGGUUGGUCACAAUUAAUUUUUCGAUCAUAACAUAAUUAAUUGUCACAGUCACAAAUUUCAAGUCACAAUCGAGAGUCACGGGCACCGUUACAAAUUUUAGCAACACCACCAUCGCACAGGCAGUCAAGUACAGAUCAUGUCCACCAACAUCUCAUCAUCACCACCGCACGACCACCGCAACUUACACCAGAAAAAUCCCCAAAUCUGACACUUGCCUCCACCACCACCACAGCCCGUGUCAACCACACACACCUCCGCACACAACCCACCACAGCCGAAGUUACAAAUCCAAUAUCAUCGGCCGACGGUCACCACCACCGUCGCACAAGCAGUUAAGCACAAAUCAUGUCCACCAACAUCUCAUCAGCACCACAGCACGACCACCAAAAACCCACACUAGAAAAAUCCCCAAAUCUGACACUCGCCUCCACCACCACCACAGCCCGUGUCAACCACACACACCUCCGCACACAACCCACUGCAACCAAAAUUACAAAUCCAAUAGCAUCGGUCGACGGUCACAUAGCCACCAUUACAACACACCUCUGUUUCUUCUUCACCGUCGACCACCACAGACCACACAGAUCGGAUCGAAAAACAACAAUGAGGCAGCGAGGCAACGAGACCACAGAGGUCGGAUCGAAAAAAUUACAAUGAGGCAGCGAGGCGGUAUCGCCUCGCCGAGCCUCUUUACCAUCCACAAAUUGCCAUCGCUACUGUAGAAUCCAUAGUAGAUCGAACUACCGUCGUCGAUCCUCUCUACCGUCCACAAACCACCAUCGCUACCAUCCACAGCACUACAACAACACAACCUCGUCGAGAAAAUAAGGGGAACUGCCACAGAGAGAGAGUUUGAGAAGACGGGUGGGGAGUGUGAGGAGAGAGAAUAAAUUGAUUAAUAUAAUGGAUAGAGAGAGAAGGAGAUAGAGAGAGAGAGUAAAUUGAUUAUUGGUAGAGAGAGAAA
rnacentral:lncRNA from 1 species